rnacentral:rRNA from 1 species
AGUGAACGCUGGCGGUAGGCCUAACACAUGCAAGUCGAACGGCAGCACAGUAAGAGCUUGCUCUUACGGGUGGCGAGUGGCGGACGGGUGAGGAAUACAUCGGAAUCUACUUUUUCGUGGGGGAUAACGUAGGGAAACUUACUCUAAUACCGCAUACGACCUACGGUUGAAAGCAGUGGAUCUUCGGACCUUGCGCGAUUGAAUUAGCCGAUGUCGGAUUAGCUAGUUGGCGGGGUAAAGGCCCACCAAGUCGACGAUCCGUAGCUGGUCUGAGAGGAUGAUCAGCCACACUGGAACUGAGACACGGUCCAGAGUCCUACGGGAGGCAGCAGUGGGGAAUAUUGGACAAUGGGCGCAAGCAUGAUACAGCCAGACCGCGUGGGAGAAGAAGGCCUUCGGGUUGUAAAGACCUUUUGUUGGGAAAGAAAAGCAGCAGGUUAAUACCACGCUGUUCUGACGGUAACCAAAGAAUAAGCACCGGCUAACUUCGUG